rnacentral:rRNA from 1 species
UACGGGGGGGGCAAGCGUUGUUCGGCAUUACUGGGCGUAAAGGGCUCGUAGGUGGCCAACUAAGUCAGACGUGAAAUCCCUCAGCUUAACUGGGGAACUGCGUCUGAUACUGGAUGGCUUGAGUUUGGGAGAGGGAUGCGGAAUUCCAGGUGUAGCGGUGAAAUGCGUAGAUAUCUGGAGGAACACCGGUGGCGAAGGCGGCAUCCUGGACCAAUACUGACACUGAGGAGCGAAAGCCAGGGGAGCAAACGGG